UGGGUACUGCGGAGACAUUACUGAUUUGCUUAAUUGCACCACAUGUGUUUUUUAUUGAACAAAUUUCUUUGGUGGCGGGAGCAAUCCUACCGCCAGAGGUUAUAACUAAACCAAACUUUUUAUUUACAGUCAAACUUGAUUUAUUAUUACAAUAGUCAAAACUUUCAACAACGGAUCUCUUGGUUCUCGCAUCGAUGAAGAACGCAGCGAAAUGCGAUACGUAAUAUGAAUUGCAGAUAUUCGUGAAUCAUCGAAUCUUUGAACGCACAUUGCGCCCUUUGGUAUUCCAAAGGGCAUGCCUGUUUGAGCGUCAUUUCUCCCUCAAACCCCCGGGUUUGGUGUUGAGCAAUACGCUAGGUUUGUUUGAAAGAAUUUAACGUGGAAACUUAUUUUAAGCGACUUAGGUUUAUCCAAAAACGCUUAUUUUGCUAGUGGCCACCACAAUUUAUUUCAUAACUUUGACCUCAAAUCAGGUAGGACUACCCGCUGAACUUAAGCAUAUCAAUGAGCCGCGGAGGGGAAAA
rnacentral:rRNA from 1 species